UACGAAGGGGGCUAGCGUUGCUCGGAAUCACUGGGCGUAAAGAGCGUGUAGGCGGCCAGGUAGGUCGGUUGUGAAAACUGGAGGCUCAACCUUCAGAGGUCGACCGAAACCAUCUGGCUAGAGUCCGGGAGAGGAGAGUGGAAUUCCUGGUGUAGCGGUGAAAUGCGCAGAUAUCAGGAGGAACACCAGCGGCGAAGGCGGCGCUCUGGGCCGGAACUGACGCUGAGGAGCGAAAGCGUGGGUAGCAAACAGG
rnacentral:rRNA from 1 species